rnacentral:rRNA from 1 species
GACGAACGCUGGCGGCGUGCUUAACACAUGCAAGUCGAACGGUAAGGCCCUUCGGGGUACACGAGUGGCGAACGGGUGAGUAACACGUGGGUGAUCUGCCCUGCACUUCGGGAUAAGCCUGGGAAACUGGGUCUAAUACCGGAUAGGACCACUGCCUGCAUGGGUGGUGGUGGAAAGCUUUUGCGGUGUGGGAUGGGCCCGCGGCCUAUCAGCUGGUUGGGGGGGUGAGGGCCUCCCAAGGCGCCGGCGGGUAGCCGGCCUGAGGGGGUGCCCGGCCCAACGGGGCUUGAGAUAGGGCCCCGACGCGUACGGGGGGCAGCAGGGGGAAAUAUUGAACAAGGGGCGCAAGCCUGAUGCAGCGACGCCGCGGGAGGGAUGACGGCCUUCGGGUUGUAACCCUCUUUCAGCACCGACGAAGCGCAAGUGACGGUAGGUGCAGAAGAAGGACCGGCCAACUACGUGCCAGCCGCCGCAGUAA